rnacentral:lncRNA from 1 species
AACAAACAAACGAACAAACAAACCACCCCCCCCCCCCCCCCAUAUAAUCAAUUUCAAAGGGGGAAAGACCGUUUACAAUUGCUUUUUAAAAGCAAUUGAUUUAUAUUGUAAAAAGGCCUUUUUAACCAUUCUGUUCCGUUGAUAUAUAAAAAAAAAAAAAAUCUCCCCGAGACCCCCUUUUGCACAUUUUUUUACCCUCCACUAACAAAUGAAUGUAGCUUUAUGUGCUAUCUAUCCUAUCAACGUCAAACGAACGACAACUCCAGUUUUUUCCCUAUUAUUAGGUCUUUCACCUUUCGGAUGAAAGACCUAUUGUUUUUGUUCUGAUUAUUAUUAUUAUUAGGUCUUUCCACUUUUCCGUGGAAAGACCUAUUGGAUUUCUUCUGAUUAUUAUUAUUUUUUUUCUUCCGCCAACUUUUUGUUCCUUCGCAAUUUUUUUGUUUCGCAAGAUGUCGCUUAGAUAUAUGGUAUAUGAUAUCGAACA